CAAAAUUGAAAUAGUGGGGCUCUCCGUUGAUUUCUUUCCAUGGGAGAAAGGGGGGCCGGCUCUUCUUUAUGAUCGAGACCUUGAAUGUUUAGAGAGAAGAUCAGAUUUUAUGGUGGUGGAAGAUCUCCUUACAUGACCGCUCCAUUCAGAAAGAGCAAUUCUGGUUUCCAAAGCUUCAGAACCAGGUUAGUGGAAGCAUCAUUGGUAGGAGAAAUAGAGUCCAAGCAUCAGCCAAAAUAUUAAGAAGAGAUGUUAAAAAGCCAACUUCGAUGGAAUCUAAAGAACCUUCUUUUAGGGGCCAAAUUUAAGAUAGCUGCGUCGACGUUCCUUGGGUUGGCCAGAGGAAUCUAGGGCUCUCAUCCCGCUCACAUAGUGUCCAAGUGUGUUUUUGUCUCCUAGGAGCCCCCACACCAUGGUUUUCUCAAAGAUAAACCUCGACGGCAAUAUUCAGGAGGAUGGUUGCUGCGGCGCAGGCUUUGUCAUCAGAGAUUAGCAGGUCAGACUAGCGGCGGUUGAGGGGCGGCAUAUCUUUGAUCAAUCUAUCAACAACACUGAG
rnacentral:lncRNA from 1 species